UCCCAUUAAUCAACCAUAUACAAUCAACAAAACCGUGUCUUAGAUUUUUGAUAUAUGCCUCCAGUAAGAAGAUAUAUUGAUUUAACUGCUGGGUUCCAAACCUCAUUUCACCUUCCAUCUUUGAAGACCUAUAAAUUCAUUUAGAAACAAAUUAUCCAAAAACUGGGACACGGUAUUGUAGAAAAUACACCCUUUAAUCAUAUAUAUCAAAGUCAGGCCAAAGGGGGUAAUCAUUAAGUUUCUAUUUUUAUUUUUUCCUUACAAAUCUCAUGAAAAAUUGUUCUGAGAAAUGACCUAAAAACUGAAUUUUCCCCUUAGAACCCCUAUAAAGACAAUAUAAAUACAAAAAUUCCACUGGGAACACCCCAGGAGUGUUCUGAUACCAUUACUAUAUCAAUAGAACCACACACUUUGUGUCUUUGAUGCUCUAAUGCUGUAAAUUUUGCAUUAUAUGUGAACUGUCCAACACUAACUUGGCAUUUGGCGGGAGUUUGACGUCACAGAUUUGACCAACAUCUGUGAUGUAGUAAUUAAAGCUCCGCCUCUUUCCAGACAGUCUAAGAUAAGAGAGUAACAUGAUUGGCCAGCUGCAUAUAGAUAAUCAAUGUUUAACAUCAUUAUUCUUUAUAUAUAAAGAAUAACUUUCAUUGGAAUUUAAAAAAAGAAAUAAACUGUCUGAAAUAAGC
rnacentral:lncRNA from 1 species